rnacentral:rRNA from 1 species
UGGCUCAGAGUGAACGCUGGCGGUAGGCCUAACACAUGCAAGUCGAACGGCAGCACAGAGGAGCUUGCUCCUUGGGUGGCGAGUGGCGGACGGGUGAGGAAUACAUCGGAAUCUACUUUUUCGUGGGGGAUAACGUAGGGAAACUUACGCUAAUACCGCAUACGACCUACGGGUGAAAGCAGGGGACCUUCGGGCCUUGCGCGAUUGAAUGAGCCGAUGUCGGAUUAGCUAGUUGGCGGGGUAAAGGCCCACCAAGGCGACGAUCCGUAGCUGGUCUGAGAGGAUGAUCAGCCACACUGGAACUGAGACACGGUCCAGACUCCUACGGGAGGCAGCAGUGGGGAAUAUUGGACAAUGGGCGCAAGCCUGAUCCAGCCAUACCGCGUGGGUGAAGAAGGCCUUCGGGUUGUAAAGCCCUUUUGUUGGGAAAGAAAUCCAGCCGGCUA